rnacentral:rRNA from 1 species
UGGGGAAUAUUGGACAAUGGGCGCAAGCCUGAUCCAGCCAUGCCGCGUGAGUGAUGAAGGCCUUAGGGUUGUAAAGCUCUUUCGCCGGUGAAGAUAAUGACGGUAACCGGAGAAGAAGCCCCGGCUAACUUCGUGCCAGCAGCCGCGGUAAUACGAAGGGGGCUAGCGUUGCUCGGAAUCACUGGGCGUAAAGCGCACGUAGGCGGAUCGUUAAGUCAGGGGUGAAAUCCUGGAGCUCAACUCCAGAACUGCCCUUGAUACUGGCGAUCUCGAGUUCGAGAGAGGUUGGUGGAACUCCGAGUGUAGAGGUGAAAUUCGUAGAUAUUCGGAAGAACACCAGUGGCGAAGGCGGCCAAACUGGCUCGAUACUGACGCUGAGGUGCGAAAGCGUGGGGAGCAAAACAGGAUUAGAUACCCUGGUAGUCCACGCCGUAAACGAUGGAUGCUAGCCGUUGGGGGGUUUACCUCUCAGUGGCGCAGCUAACGCCUUAAGCAUCCCGCCUGGGGAGUACGGUCGCAAGAUUAAAAC